rnacentral:rRNA from 1 species
UGGGGAAUCUUAGACAAUGGGGGAAACCGUGAUCUAGCCAUGCCGCGUGAGCGAUGAAGGCCUUAGGGUUGUAAAGCUCUUUCGCUGGGGAAGAUAAUGACGGUACCCAGUAAAGAAGCCCCGGCUAACUCCGUG